rnacentral:rRNA from 1 species
AUUGAACGCUGGCGGCAUGCUUUACACAUGCAAGUCGAACGGCAGCGGGGGCUUCGGCCUGCCGGCGAGUGGCGAACGGGUGAGUAAUGCAUCGGAACGUGCCCAUGUCGUGGGGGAUAACGUAGCGAAAGCUACGCUAAUACCGCAUACGUCCUGAGGGAGAAAGCGGGGGAUCUUCGGACCUCGCGCGAUUGGAGCGGCCGAUGUCGGAUUAGCUAGUAGGGGAGGUAAAGGCUCACCUAGGCGACGAUCCGUAGCGGGUCUGAGAGGAUGAUCCGCCACACUGGGACUGAGACACGGCCCAGACUCCUACGGGAGGCAGCAGUGGGGAAUUUUGGACAAUGGGCGCAAGCCUGAUCCAGCCAUGCCGCGUGAGUGAAGAAGGCCUUCGGGUUGUAAAGCUCUUUCGGCCGGGAAGAAAUCGUGUUCUCUAACAUAGGACAUGGAUGACGGUACCGGACUAAGAAGCACCGGCUAACUACGUGUCAGCAGCCGCCGUAAAAC